rnacentral:lncRNA from 1 species
CAACACGUUAUCAGCAUGAUUCUCUUCUACAUAAUAUUACAGUUUAUUUUUUGUUCUAGUCUUGACUCUUCAAACUUAUUGCUACUUUUCUCCCCUAUCUAACUCAUGAUCUUACUGCACUUCUUGUUGGCCACUUACACAUUAGUUGCUUGCUUAGAUCACUUGCUCCACUCUCUGUCCUACUUGCUUAAAAUACUUACUCCAACCCAGCCUUCCUACUACAUCUUGCGCCUACCACCAAAUAACUAUUAAAUAGUCACUAAACUACUACCAAAUUGAUCGCCAACUGUCGCCAAACAACUACCGAUCCCACUACUGCUGUUAAUUGCUAACUAUUGUCAAUCUUGGCAUUGCUACUACCACCUGCCGCCCUGCCAUCGCGGUCGCUGCCACCUUACCACCCUA